rnacentral:rRNA from 1 species
CCUACGGGGGGCAGCAGUGGGGAAUAUUGCACAAUGGGGGAAACCCUGAUGCAGCGACGCCGCGUGAGUGAAGAAGUAUUUCGGUAUGUAAAGCUCUAUCAGCAGGGAAGUAAAUGACGGUACCUGACUAAGAAGCCCCGGCUAACUACGUGCCAGCAGCCGCGGCAAUAUGUAGGGGGCAAGCGUUAUCCGGAUUUACCGGGUGUAAAGGGAGCGUAGACGGCCUGACAAGUCAGAGGUGAAAGGCCCGGGCUCAACCCUGGGACUGCUUUUGAAACUGCCGGGCUGGAGAGCAGGAGAGGUAAGCGGAAUUCCUAGUGUAGCGGUGAAAUGCGUAGAUAUUAGAAGGAACACCAGUGGCGAAGGCAGCUUACUAAACUGUAACUGACGUUGAGGCUCGAAAGCGUGGGGAGCAAACAGGAUUAGAUACCCCUGUAGUC